GACGAACGCUGGCGGCGUGCUUAACACAUUCAAGUCGAACGGAAAGGCCCUGCUUUUGUGGGGUGCUCGAGUGGCGAACGGGUGAGUAACACGUGAGUAACCUGCCCUUGACUUUGGGAUAACUUCAGGAAACUGGGGCUAAUACCGGAUAGGAGCUCCUGCUGCAUGGUGGGGGUUGGAAAGUUUCGGCGGUUGGGGAUGGACUCGCGGCUUAUCAGCUUGUUGGUGGGGUAGUGGCUUACCAAGGCUUUGACGGGUAGCCGGCCUGAGAGGGUGACCGGCCACAUUGGGACUGAGAUACGGCCCAGACUCCUACGGGAGGCAGCAGUGGGGAAUAUUGCACAAUGGGCGGAAGCCUGAUGCAGCAACGCCGCGUGCGGGAUGACGGCCUUCGGGUUGUAAACCGCCUUCGCCUGUGACGAAGCGUGAGUGACGGUAAUGGGUAAAGAAGCACCGGCUAACUACGUG
rnacentral:rRNA from 1 species